rnacentral:rRNA from 1 species
UGCCCAGUGAUAUUUUUUUUAAAUGGCCGCAGUACCUUGACUGUGCUAAGGUAGCAUAAUCAAUUGGCUUCUAAUUAGAGUCUAGAAUGAAAGGAAUUAUGAGGUAAUUCUGUCUUAAAAGAUUUUUUUUUAAUUUAUUUAAAUGAUGAAAAUAUCAUUUUUUAGAAAAAAGACGAGAAGACCCUUAGAGUUUAAUUUUUUGAUUUUGUUGGGGCGACAAGUAAACAUUUUGAACUUUACUAAUUAAUUUAAUCGAUUUAUAAUAAGGAUGAAAAAACUACCUUAGGGAUAACAGCAUUAUAUUUUUAUAUGAUUGUGACCUCGAUGUUGGACUAGGAACUUUAUGACUAGCCGUCAAAAAAGAUUUGUUCUGUUCGAACAAUACUAUCCUACGUGAUCUGAGUUCAGACCGG